rnacentral:rRNA from 1 species
UCAUAUGCUUGUCUCAAAGAUUAAGCCAUGCAUGUGUAAGUACCAAGCUUUAUUAUUCAGUGAAACCGCGAAUGGCUCAUUAGAUCAGUUAAUAUUUAUUAGAUCGUUGCAAGUUACUUGGAUAACUGUGGUAAUUCUAGAGCUAAUACAUGCGAACAAGCUCCGACCCUCGUCGGGGGAAAGAGCGCUUUUAUUAGAUCAAAACCGACGCGGUGAGCAAUCGCCGCCCUGGCUGGUGAAUCUGGAUAACUUUGGGCUGAUCGCACGGCCCCGAGCCGGCGACGUAUCUUUCAAAUGUCUGCCCUAUCAAGUUUCGAAGGUAAUCGAUAUGCUUACCUUGCUUUUUACGGGUAACGGGGAAUCAGGGUUCGAUUCCGGAGAGGGAGCAUGAGAAACGGCUACCACAUCUAAGGAAGGCAGCAGGCGCGCAAAUUACCCACUCUCGGAACGUGGAGGUAGUGACGAAAAAUAGCGAUGCCCGGUUGCUAGUCGAUUGGGCGAUCGAAAUGAGUGUACGUCAAAGACGUGAAUUAGAAGCUAUCGGAGGGCAAGUCUGGUGCCAGCAGCCGCGGUAAUUCCAGCUCCGAAGGCGUAUGCUAAAGUUGUCGCGUUUAAAAAGCUCGUAGUUGGAUCAUGGUUUGUGGGCCUUAGGCGUGGCCUAACGGCAGGCGUGCUAUAGUUCGAGGCCUUUGGCCUGACGCCGGAUCGUCCUCUUGAACGAGUGCGAGCUUAAGCAACCGAGCGCAGGCUCGGUUACUUCGAGGAAAUUAGAGUGUUCAUAGCGGGUCCGUCACGCGGCCCGGAUAACGCAGCAUGGAAUAACAAAAUUUGGCUUCGUCACGCGCGUCCCAUCCGAGUCGGCGAAAGCUUGUCCGACACGUGGGCGUCUUCGGUCGUCGACGGGGUUCGGAGGCCUAGUGUCUGGGAUGGGACGCGCGCGCGCGGGUUUUAAUUUGUUGGUCUCGAGACUUGGAGCGUCGAUUAAGAGGGACAGUCCGGGGGCGUGCGUAUCGCAGCGCGAGAGGUGAAAUUCUGAGACCGUUGCGAGACGACCAAAAGCGAAAGCAUUCGCCAAGGAUGUCUUCUUUAGUCAAGAACGAAAGUCAGAGGUUCGAAGACGAUCAGAUACCGUCGUAGUUCUGACCAUAAACGGUGUUGCCUACUUCCCGGUCGUGGAUCUCAUUGACCCGACCGGAGACCCCCGGGAAACCUUCGAGGCUUCCGACUCCGGGGGGAGUAUAUUCGCAAGGACGAAACUUAAAGGAAUUGACGGAAGGGCACCACCAGGAGUGGAGCCUGCGGCUUAAUUCGACUCAACACGGGGAAGCUCACCCGGCCCGGACUGCGCAAGGAUUGACAGAUUGAUAGCUCUUUCUCGAUUCACAGGAUGGUGGUGCAUGGCCGUUCUUAGUUGGUGGAGCGAUUUGUCUGGUUAAUUCCGAUAACGAACGAGACUCUAGCCUAUUAAAUAGUUCGCCGAUUCUGUAUGUCGGUGCUAACUUCUUAGAGGGACAAGUGGCGUUUAGCCACGCGAGAUUGAGCAAUAACAGGUCUGUGAUGCCCUUAGAUGUUCGGGGCCGCACGCGCGCUACACUGAAGGAAUCAACGUGUGUCUUCCCUGGCCCGGAAGGGUCGGGUAACCCGUUGAACCUCCUUCGUGCUAGGGAUUGGGGCUUGUAAUUCUUCCCCAUGAACGAGGAAUUCCCAGUAAGCGCGAGUCAUAAGCUCGCGUUGAUUACGUCCCUGCCCUUUGUACACACCGCCCGUCGCUACUACCGAUUGGAUGGUUUAGUGAAAUCCUCGGAUUGGUCCCGGAGGAUUGGGCGACCAGUCUCCCGGUGUCGCUGAGAAGACGAUUAAACUUGAUCAUCUAGAGGAAGUAAAAGUCGUAACAAGGUUUCC